UUAAAUUGAGAGUUUGAUCCUGGCUCAGGACGAACGCUGGCGGCGUGCCUAACACAUGCAAGUCGAGCGAUGAAACUUCCUUCGGGAAGUGGAUUAGCGGCAGACGGGUGAGUAACACGUGGGUAACCUGCCUCAAAGAGUGGGAUAGCCUCCCGAAAGGGAGAUUAAUACCGCAUAACAUUAUUUUAUGGCAUCAUAAAAUAAUCAAAGGAGCAAUCCGCUUUGAGAUGGACCCGCGGCGCAUUAGCUAGUUGGUGAGGUAACGGCUCACCAAGGCAACGAUGCGUAGCCGACCUGAGAGGGUGAUCGGCCACAUUGGAACUGAGACACGGUCCAGACUCCUACGGGAGGCAGCAGUGGGGAAUAUUGCGCAAUGGGGGAAACCCUGACGCAGCAACGCCGCGU
rnacentral:rRNA from 1 species